ACAGGUCUUCGGAUGCUGACGAGUGGCGAACGGGUGAGUAAUACAUCGGAACGUGCCCGAUCGUGGGGGAUAACGCAGCGAAAGCUGUGCUAAUACCGCAUACGAUCUACGGAUGAAAGCGGGGGAUCGCAAGACCUCGCGCGGACGGAGCGGCCGAUGGCAGAUUAGGUAGUUGGUGGGGUAAAGGCCUACCAAGCCUGCGAUCUGUAGCUGGUCUGAGAGGACGACCAGCCACACUGGGACUGAGACACGGCCCAGACUCCUACGGGAGGCAGCAGUGGGGAAUUUUGGACAAUGGGCGCAAGCCUGAUCCAGCAAUGCCGCGUGCAGGAUGAAGGCCUUCGGGUUGUAAACUGCUUUUGUACGGAACGAAAAGAUCUUUCCUAAUACGAGAGGUUUAUGACGGUACCGUAAGAAUAAGCACCGGCUAACUACGUGCCAGCAGCCGCGGUAAUACGUAGGGUGCAAGCGUUAAUCGGAAUUACUGGGCGUAAAGCGUGCGCAGGCGGUAAUGUAAGACAGAUGUGAAAUCCCCGGGCUCAACCUGGGAACUGCAUUUGUGACUGCAUUGCUGGAGUGCGGCAGAGGGGAUGGAUUCCGCGUGUAGCAGUGAUGCGUAGAUAUGCGGAGGAACAC
rnacentral:rRNA from 1 species